GACGAACGCUGGCGGCGUGCCUAAUACAUGCAAGUCGAACGCUUCCUACCGGUGCUUGCACCGGGAAAGAAGAGAGGCGGACGGGUGAGUAACACGUGGGUAACCUACCUACAAGCGGGGGAUAACAUUCGGAAACGGAUGCUAAUACCGCAUAGAUCUUUUUGUCUCCUGGCAGAAAGAAGAAAGACGGUUUCGGCUGUCACUGGUAGAUGGACCAGCGGCGCAUUAGUUAGUUGGUGAGGUAAUGGCUCACCAAGACGAUGAUGCGUAGCCGACCUAAGAGGGUGAUCGGCCACACUGGGACUGAGACACGGCCCAGACUCCUACGGGAGGCAGCAGUAGGGAAUCUUCCGCAAUGGACGAAAGUCUGACGGAGCAACGCCGCGUGAGUGAAGAAGGUUUUCGGAUCGUAAAACUCUGUUGUUAGAGAAGAACAAGGAUGAGAGUAACUGCUCGUCCCUUGACGGUAUCUAACCAGAAAGCCAUGGCUAACUACGUGCCAGCCGCCGCGGUAA
rnacentral:rRNA from 1 species